rnacentral:tRNA from 1 species
GCCAGGAUGGCAGAACUUGGUAAAUGCGCAGCCCUGGAAAUUGGCUGGACAGGCUGUGUCCUUCGUGGGCGUAAGGGUUCAAAUCCCUUUCCUGGCG